rnacentral:misc_RNA from 1 species
GCAAAUGGAACAGCUGUAAACUGUAGCAACUGUCAAAAUCAGCUUUCAUUCAUGUACACGCCAGCGGCUAAUAAAUUUAUUUUAAUAAGAGUGAAAAGGAAUACAAUUCCCCAAAAUAAUAAAGUUAGCUAUUAUAGAAGUAGUAUUUUUUAUACGUUUUAAAAUAAUCAAAAUAAACGUGGUUUGUGUUUUAAUCACUUCAAGUGCAGUAGAAUUAAUUUAAUACUUUAAGUCUAACACUCACCCAAGCGCAUUACCAACCAGCUCUCAACUGUCAGCUAUAACCAACUACUAAGCACUAGUCAAGCUCCCAUUUCAACUCGCAUAUCCUUACAAAUAAUCAUUUUUACAAAUGUGGCCCGAAAAUGUUGGCAUACGCGCCAUUGAGGCGAUCUUCCCAUCACAGUUUGUGGACCAAACGGAAUUGGAACAAUUUGAUGGUGCCUCAGCGGGUAAAUACACCAUCGGUUUGGGUCAAGGAAAAAUGGGUUUCUGCUCGGAUCGUGAAGACGUGAACUCACUGUGCCUCACUGUGGUCAGCCGCCUGUUGGAACGCUAUCAAAUCAAGCCACAAGAAAUCGGACGUUUGGAGGUCGGCACCGAAACCAUUAUUGACAAAUCGAAAUCCGUUAAAUCGGUGCUAAUGCAGCUAUUUGCCGAUUCGGGCAACACAGAUAUCGAGGGCAUCGAUACAACGAACGCAUGCUACGGCGGCACAGCGGCACUCUUCAACUCAAUCAACUGGAUAGAGUCGUCCAGCUGGGAUGGUCGUUACGCAUUGGCCGUUUGUGCCGAUAUCGCCGUGUACGCGAAGGGCGCAGCACGUCCCACAGGUGGCGCUGGCGCCAUUGCUAUGUUGGUGGGACCGAAUGCGCCGCUCAUCUUCGAGCGCGGUCUGCGCGCCACACACAUGGAACAUGCCUACGACUUCUACAAGCCCGACUUGAGCUCGGAGUAUCCCACAGUUGAUGGUAAACUAUCGAUACAGUGUUAUCUCUCCGCGCUGGACACAUGCUAUCAGUUAUACUGUAAGAAGUUUGCGAAAAAGUACCCACAAGAGGCUGAAUUUACUUUGGAUAACUUUGAAGCGCUGCUCUUCCACACGCCCUUCUGCAAGUUGGUGCAAAAGUCAGUGGCGCGCGUCGUCUUCAAUGAUUUCCUACAAUGCAGCAUUGAGAAGCGUGCGCUGAAAUAUCCCGGCUUGGAGCGCUUCAACGAAUGCACGCUGGCACAAACCUACUUCGAUCGCGAUGUGGAAAAGGCCUUCAUGACACAAUUCGCUGACGUCUUCGAAACGAAAACACGCCAAUCAUUGCUGCUGGCCAAUCAGGUGGGCAACAUGUACACACCGUCCGUGUACUCUGGUCUCGUCUCAUUGCUCAUCAACACGCCAUCGGAGCGUCUGAUUGGCAAACGCAUUGGCCUCUUCUCGUAUGGCUCCGGUUUGGCGGCCACAAUGUACUCAAUGCAAGUGACCAAGGAUGCUGCCGCUUUCAAGCAGCUCGUAUCUAAAUUGGAUUAUGUCUUACCGAUGCUAAAUUCGCGUGAAAAAGUCGCACCCGAACUGUUCUCCCAACUGAUGGAGGUGCGCGAGAAGAACAAUCAUGCGGCGCCAUACACGCCGACCGGCAGCGUAAGCGCGCUCUUCCCCGGCACCUACUACCUACAGUUCGUGGACGACAUGCAUCGGCGCACGUACGAACGCAAGCCGACCAUUGCGAAUGGCGUGCAUUAAUAGUUGCUGUUCAAGGAUGUGGUCGUCGGCGUGUUGGCGCACCGACAGUGGUGGCGGUGUAGUCUACGUAAACGGCGUCUCGGCGGUUAGAGCAGCGGCUGCAUGCGUUGGUCUGACAGUGCAUGUUGGUUGAGGGAAUUUAGGGCGCCAUACGCAGUGCUUUAACUUAGUUUUAGUUAAGAAAAUAAUUACACAAACACACAGGCAACAUGUGGUGCGCAAUUGCAGUUAAAAACGUAUUUGCUUUUAUUUAAUUAAACUACAAACAACACUUGACAAUAAUAAUUCAUUUAAAAUAAUGUUGCAUAUACUAUACUAGGUAGCUAAAAUUCAAAUUAGUACAUAUAUAUGUAUGUAUGUAUGCAGGUACAUAAGCAAUAAAUGAUUGCACUAACUAAAUAAACCGUUAAGUAGAAUGGCUUACUACAAGUGAAUUUUCCACACAAAAGAAAUAAAAACCCAUAAAGGCCGAGUUAUGGUUCGGCGCACCCGUAAACACGUGAAGGCAAUGCGAGCGCGCGGCUGGGCAGCAGCGACUUAUGCGCUUGUGCGUGCGCAACUCUACCUUGUACCUUAUUGCUUGAUUGCAAAUGUAAUUUGCUUUGUUAUUUACUGUUAUAUGCACACCAAAACGCAACUUAAAUAGAAAACAUAUGAAAAAUUCAGCAAAAUUAACGCUAUUAUGUAGUUAGUUCUUAGUUCAGCGCACUCUUCAAGAAAAAAAAUUGUUUUAAAAUUUAUGAAAAACGAAAAUCCAAAAACAUAUAGAUAUUUAUAUCUACAUAUAACUAAUUUUCACAUUUGCUUACGCUUAAGAACGCGCGAAAACGUCUUAUGUCAAGCGACCAAGUAGCUUUACAUGUUCAUAUGUAUGUAUAUGUAUAAAUGGAAAUGUGAAUAUAUAAAAUUAUAUAGCUUUAGGUUAAGACAAAAUAAAGGCAAACCUCACCCCAAGAAAACAAAAACAAAAUAAAUACAAAAAACCGUAUUCCUCAACUUAUUGCUGUCGGCUGCGGUAGUUAGUAGAAUCAUAUUUACUUAUGUACAUGUGUGUGUGUGUGAAACUCCCAAAACAUAUUUUUGCUACCCGUAGAUAUUUAAUUUACGUGACAUUCGCAAGUGCAGCGGAUUCCAGGGCAAUAAUCAGCUGUAUGCCCAGAGGGACAUAAAUCAACUUUGGAAAUUUUAUACCAGUUUUUAUAUAAAUAUAUAAAUUAUACGAUAAGAUUAAUACAAAUUCGUCUACGACGCGACGGCUAAUCUAUCUAAAUAAACUUUAAAGAUAUUAAAACAACAACAACGCUCUCAACUAAUAUGUAUAAAGAAAGAUUGAUUGUAUUUAACAAUUUAACUACUGAUAACGGUAAACCAUGCAAAUAAAAAAAUUAAAACAAAAA